rnacentral:rRNA from 1 species
AGGGCUUGACAUACUGCGAAUCUCCUUGAAAGGGGAGAGUGCCUUCGGGAAUGCAGAUACAGGUGGUGCAUGGCUGUCGUCAGCUCGUGUCGUGAGAUGUUGGGUUAAGUCCCGCAACGAGCGCAACCCUUGUUUUUAGUUACCAACUUGUUGGGUUUUCUAGAAAGACUGCCGGUGACAAACCGGAGGAAGGUGAGGAUGACGUCAAGUCAGCAUGCCCCUUAUGUCCUGGGCUACACACGUGCUACAAUGGUUAGGACAAAGAGUCGCAAGUUUGCAAAAACAAGCUAAUCUCAUAAACCUAGCCUAAGUUCAGAUUGUAGGCUGCAACUCGCCUACAUGAAGUUGGAAUCGCUAGUAAUCGCUGGUCAGCCAUACAG